UACGUAGGGUGCAAGCGUUGUCCGGAAUUAUUGGGCGUAAAGAGCUCGUAGGCGGUCUGUCGCGUCUGCUGUGAAAACUCAGGGCUUAACCCUGAGCUUGCAGUGGGUACGGGCAGACUAGAGUGCGGUAGGGGAGACUGGAAUUCCUGGUGUAGCGGUGAAAUGCGCAGAUAUCGAGAGGAACACCAGUGGCGAAGGCGAGUCCCUGGACACUUCCUGACACUGAGGCACGAAAGCUAGGGGAGCAAACAGG
rnacentral:rRNA from 1 species